rnacentral:rRNA from 1 species
GAUGAACGCUGGCGGCGUGCUUAACACAUGCAAGUCGAGCGAACAGACGCGGCGCUUGCUCCUUUGACGUUAGCGGCGGACGUGUGAGUAACACGUGUAUAACCUACCUAUAUGACGGAGAUAACUUCGGGAAACCGGAGCUAAUACGGGAUAAUAUACUGCACCGUAUGGUUCAAUAGUGAAAGACGGUUGUGCUGUAACUUAUAGAUGGAUCCGCGCCGCAUUAGGUAGUUGGUAAGGUAACGGCUUAUCAAGGCUAGGAUGCGUAGGCGAGUGGAGAGGCUGAUCGGCCACCCGGGAGCUGGAACACCGUCCAGGCUCCUGCGGGAGGCAGCAGUAGCGAACCUGCCGCAGUAGGCGAAAGCCUGGCGGAACAGCGGCGCGUGAGAGAUGAAAAUCUUCGGAUCGGGAAACUCUGUUAUUGGGGAAAAACAGAUGUGUAAGUAACUGUACACGUCUUGACGGUACCUGGUCAGAAAGCCACGGCUAACUACGUG